rnacentral:misc_RNA from 1 species
GUGAAAUUUGGGCGUCUCUGCUACAGAGAGCCUGUCUUCCACAUUUAACCCUGUGCACUUGACGCUCGUCUCGUGCGCUUGUCAGUCGGACUCGGCUUCCAAAAGGAAGCCAAGCCGGCGAAAACCAUUUUUUAACGCAAGUUGAUGAAUGUAAUUUUAAAUCUAAACCAAAUA